rnacentral:rRNA from 1 species
UACAGAGGUCCCAAGCGUUGUUCGGAUUCACUGGGCGUAAAGGGUGCGUAGGCGGUCGGGUAAGUCUGAUGUGAAAUCUCACAGCUUAACUGUGAAACUGCAUUGGAUACUAUCCGGCUCGAGGAAUGGAGGGGAGACUGGAAUACUUGGUGUAGCGGUGAAAUGCGCAGAUAUCAGGAGGAACACCGAUUGCGAAGGCAGCUCGCUGGGACGUAACUGACGCUGAGACGCGAAAGCGUGGGGAGCAAACAGG